AUCAUCGAUGAUGGUGAGAUGGCAUCUCAUAUACUUAAUGGUCUUGAUUUUGAGUACAAUCCCUUUGUAUCUUCAAUGCUUGGCUGUGCGGUUCCUAUUUCUCUCUCUGAGCUAUACUCUCAUCUAAGGUCCUAUG
rnacentral:snoRNA from 1 species